UACGUAGGGGGCAAGCGUUGUCCGGAAUCAUUGGGCGUAAAGCGCGUGUAGGCGGCCCGGUAAGUCCGCUCUGAAAGCCCGGGGCUCAACCCCGGGAGGCGGGCGGAUACUGUCGGGCUAGAGUCCGGAAGAGGCGAGUGGAAUUCCUGGUGUAGCGGUGAAAUGCGCAGAUAUCAGGAGGAACACCAAUAGCGAAGGCAGCUCGCUGGGACGGUACUGACGCUGAGACGCGAAAGCGUGGGGAGCAAACAGG
rnacentral:rRNA from 1 species